UAAACCCCGCCUGUUUACCAAAAACAUCACCUCUAGCAUUACUAUUAUUAGAGGCACUGCCUGCCCAGUGACACUAGUUAAACGGCCGCGGUAUCCUGACCGUGCAAAGGUAGCAUAAUCAUUUGUUCCUUAAUUAGGGACUUGUAUGAAUGGCCCCACGAGGGUUUAACUGUCUCUUACUUUCAAUCAAUGAAAUUGACCUUCCCGUGAAGAGGCGGGAAUAAAAUAAUAAGACGAGAAGACCCUAUGGAGCUUUAAUUUUAUUGUUCAACAUAACCAAAGUAUACCCCAACAGGAAUAACACUGGUUUAACUGGACAACAAAUUUUGGUUGGGGUGACCUCGGAGCAUAAUAAAACCUCCGAGAAAUUAAGCCAAGACGCACCUGUCAAAGCGACUCAUCUAUUGAUCCAAUCAUAUUGAUCAACGGACUAAGUUACCCUAGGGAUAACAGCGCAAUCCUAUUUAAGAGUUCAUAUCGACAAUAGGGUUUACGACCUCGAUGUUGGAUCAGGACACCCAAAUGGUGCAGCAGCUAUUAAAGGUUCGUUUGUUCAACGAUUAAAGUCC
rnacentral:rRNA from 1 species